rnacentral:rRNA from 1 species
ACCAUUUAGUGGGGAAUAACUGUUGGAAACGACAGCUAAUACCGCAUAAUAUUGCUGGAUAAUUUCCAGUAAUGAAAGGAGCUUUCAAGCUCCGCUGAUUGAUGAGGAUGCGGCGCAUUAGCUAGUUGGUAGGGUAAUGGCCUACCAAGGCAAUGAUGCGUAGCCGAUCUGAGAGGAUGAACGGCCACAUUGGGACUGAGACACGGCCCAAACUUCUACGGAAGGCAGCAGUAGGGAAUUUUUCACAAUGGGCGAAAGCCUGAUGGAGCAAUGCCGCGUGACUGAUGAAGGUCUUCGGAUUGUAAAGGUCUGUUGUAAGGGAAGAAAUGGUAAAACAGGAAAUGGUUUUAUCUAUGACGGUACCUUACCAGAAAGCCACGGCUAACUAUGUGCCAGCAGCCGCGGUAAUACAUAGGUGGCAAGCGUUAUCCGGAUUUAUUGGGCGUAAAGGGUGCGUAGACGGUUUUGCAAGUCUGAGGUUAAAUUUAGGAGCUCAACUCCUAAUCGCCUUGGAAACUACAAGACUAGAGUAUAGGAGAGGUUAGUGGAAUUCCAUGUGUAGCGGUGGAAUGUGUAGAUAUAUGGAGGAACACCAGUGGCGAAG